rnacentral:rRNA from 1 species
CCUACGGGAGGCUGCAGUGGGGAAUAUUGGACAAUGGGGGCAACCCUGAUCCAGCCAUGCCGCGUGUGUGAAGAAGGCCCUCGGGUUGUAAAGCACUUUCAGUGAGGAAGAACUCCUGGUGGUUAAUACCCAUCAGGAAAGACAUCACUCACAGAAGAAGCACCGGCUAACUCCGUGCCAGCAGCCGCGGUAAUACGGAGGGUGCGAGCGUUAAUCGGAAUUACUGGGCGUAAAGCGCGCGUAGGUGGCUUGAUAAGCCGGUUGUGAAAGCCCCGGGCUCAACCUGGGAACGGCAUCCGGAACUGUCAAGCUAGAGUGCAGGAGAGGAAGGUAGAAUUCCCGGUGUAGCGGUGAAAUGCGUAGAGAUCGGGAGGAAUACCAGUGGCGAAGGCGGCCUUCUGGACUGACACUGACACUGAGGUGCGAAAGCGUGGGUAGCAAACAGGAUUAGAUACCCUGGUAGUC